rnacentral:rRNA from 1 species
GACGAACGCUGGCGGCGUGCUUAACACAUGCAAGUCGAACGAUGAAGGAGAGCUUGCUCUCCGGAUUAGUGGCGAACGGGUGAGUAACACGUGACUAACCUGCCCCUUUCUCUGGGAUAACGCUCCGAAAGGAGUGCUAAUACCGGAUACGAACUCUGAACACAUGUUCGGAGUUGGAAAGUUUUUCGGAAAGGGAUGGAGUCGCGGCCUAUCAGCUUGUUGGUGAGGUAACGGCUCACCAAGGCGACGACGGGUAGCCGGCCUGAGAGGGCGACCGGCCACACUGGGACUGAGACACGGCCCAGACUCCUACGGGAGGCAGCAGUGGGGAAUAAUGCACAAUGGGCGAAAGCCUGACGCAGCGACGCCGCGUGAGGGAUGAAGGUCUUCGGAUUGUAAACCUCUUUCAGUAGGGACGAAGCGAAAGUGACGGUACCUAAAGAAGAAGCACCGGCUAACUACGUGCCAGCCGCCGCCGUAA